ACAUGUCCGGCACUUUUGGACGUCGUUUAAUCACCGUUUCCAGGGAAGAGGUGUCAUUUGUAAAAGCGUCUACCCAGGAGCUGGCAGGAUCUCCAGCUUUGAUGACAGAGGCUAACACACAAAGAAGCACCUCGAAAAGAGCUGCAGAAGAGCCUGGGCAGCAACCAGACCUGCUGUUGUUCUGUGGAGGAGUAGUAAUUUGCGGCUGGCUUACCUGUGGGCCCGGAGAACCGACAUCUCCCCUCUCGCCUUUCUCUCCCGCAGUGCCCUGCAAUGUGUC